UGGGGAAUUUUGCACAAUGGGGGAAAGCCCUGAUGCAGCAACGCCGCGUGGAGGAUGAAGUCCCUUGGGACGUAAACUCCUUUCGACCGGGACGAUAAUGACGGUACCGGUGGAAGAAGCCCCGGCUAACUCCGUG
rnacentral:rRNA from 1 species